rnacentral:rRNA from 1 species
GAUGAACGCUGGCGGCGUGCCUAAUACAUGCAAGUCGAGCGAACAGACGAGGAGCUUGCUCCUUUGACGUUAGCGGCGGACGGGUGAGUAACACGUGGGUAACCUACCUAUAAGACUGGGAUAACUUCGGGAAACCGGAGCUAAUACCGGAUAAUAUUUCGAACCGCAUGGUUCGAUAGUGAAAGAUGGCUCUGCUAUCACUUAUAGAUGGACCUGCGCCGUAUUAGCUAGUUGGUAAGGUAACGGCUUACCAAGGCAACGAUACGUAGCCGACCUGAGAGGGUGAUCGGCCACACUGGAACUGGAACACGGUCCAGACUCCUACGGGAGGCAGCAGUAGGGAAUCUUCCGCAAUGGGCGAAAGCCUGACGGAGCAACGCCGCGUGAGUGAUGAAGGUCUUCGGAUCGUAAAACUCUGUUAUUAGGGAAGAACAAACGUGUAAGUAACUGUGCACGUCUUGACGGUACCUAAUCAGAAAGCCACGGCUAACUACGUG